rnacentral:rRNA from 1 species
GAUGAACGCUGGCGGCGUGCCUAAUACAUGCAAGUCGAGCGAACGGACGAGAAGCUUGCUUCUCUGAUGUUAGCGGCGGACGGGUGAGUAACACGUGGAUAACCUACCUAUAAGACUGGGAUAACUUCGGGAAACCGGAGCUAAUACCGGAUGAUAUUUUGAACCGCAUGGUUCAAAAGUGAAAGACGGUCUUGCUGUCACUUAUAGAUGGAUCCGCGCUGCAUUAGCUAGUUGGUAAGGUAACGGCUUACCAAGGCAACGAUGCAUAGCCGACCUGAGAGGGUGAUCGGCCACACUGGAACUGAGACACGGUCCAGACUCCUACGGGAGGCAGCAGUAGGGAAUCUUCCGCAAUGGGCGAAAGCCUGACGGAGCAACGCCGCGUGAGUGAUGAAGGUCUUCGGAUCGUAAAACUCUGUUAUUAGGGAAGAACAUAUGUGUAAGUAACUGUGCACAUCUUGACGGUACCUAAUCAGAAAGCCACGGCUAACUACGUGCCAGCAGCCGCGGUAAUACGUAGGUGGCAAGCGUUAUCCGGAAUUAUUGGGCGUAAAGCGCGCGUAGGCGGUUUUUUUAAGUCUGAUGUGAAAGCCCACGGCUCAACCGUGGAGGGUCAUUGGAAACUGGAAAACUUGAGUGCAGAAGAGGAAAGUGGAAUUCCAUGUGUAGCGGUGAAAUGCGCAGAGAUAUGGAGGAACACCAGUGGCGAAGGCGACUUUCUGGUCUGUAACUGACGCUGAUGUGCGAAAGCGUGGGGAUCAAACAGGAUUAGAUACCCUGGUAGUCCACGCCGUAAACGAUGAGUGCUAAGUGUUAGGGGGUUUCCGCCCCUUAGUGCUGCAGCUAACGCAUUAAGCACUCCGCCUGGGGAGUACGACCGCAAGGUUGAAACUCAAAGGAAUUGACGGGGACCCGCACAAGCGGUGGAGCAUGUGGUUUAAUUCGAAGCAACGCGAAGAACCUUACCAAAUCUUGACAUCCUUUGACAACUCUAGAGAUAGAGCUUUCCCCUUCGGGGGACAAAGUGACAGGUGGUGCAUGGUUGUCGUCAGCUCGUGUCGUGAGAUGUUGGGUUAAGUCCCGCAACGAGCGCAACCCUUAAGCUUAGUUGCCAUCAUUAAGUUGGGCACUCUAAGUUGACUGCCGGUGACAAACCGGAGGAAGGUGGGGAUGACGUCAAAUCAUCAUGCCCCUUAUGAUUUGGGCUACACACGUGCUACAAUGGACAAUACAAAGGGCAGCGAAACCGCGAGGUCAAGCAAAUCCCAUAAAGUUGUUCUCAGUUCGGAUUGUAGUCUGCAACUCGACUACAUGAAGCUGGAAUCGCUAGUAAUCGUAGAUCAGCAUGCUACGGUGAAUACGUUCCCGGGUCU